GGGUUGUGAGGUUAAGCGACUAAGCGUACACGGUGGAUGCCUGGCAGUCAGAGGCGAUGAAGGACGUGCUAAUCUGCGAUAAGCGUCGGUAAGGUGAUAUGAACCGUUAUAACCGGCGAUUUCCGAAUGGGGAAACCCAGUGUGAUUCGUCACACUAUCAUUAACUGAAUCCAUAGGUUAAUGAGGCGAACCGGGGGAACUGAAACAUCUAAGUACCCCGAGGAAAAGAAAUCAACCGAGAUUCCCCCAGUAGCGGCGAGCGAACGGGGAGCAGCCCAGAGCCUGAAUCAGUGUGUGUGUUAGUGGAAGCGUCUGGAAAGGCGUGCGAUACAGGGUGACAGCCCCGUACACAAAAAUGCACAUACUGUGAGCUCGAUGAGUAGGGCGGGACACGUGGUAUCCUGUCUGAAUAUGGGGGGACCAUCCUCCAAGGCUAAAUACUCCUGACUGACCGAUAGUGAACCAGUACCGUGAGGGAAAGGCGAAAAGAACCCCGGCGAGGGGAGUGAAAAAGAACCUGAAACCGUGUACGUACAAGCAGUGGGAGCACGCUUAGGCGUGUGACUGCGUACCUUUGUAUAAUGGGUCAGCGACUUAUAUUCUGUAGCAAGGUUAACCGAAUAGGGGAGCCGAAGGGAAACCGAGUCUUAACUGGGCGUUAAGUUGCAGGGUAUAGACCCGAAACCCGGUGAUCUAGCCAUGGGCAGGUUGAAGGUUGGGUAACACUAACUGGAGGACCGAACCGACUAAUGUUGAAAAAUUAGCGGAUGACUUGUGGCUGGGGGUGAAAGGCCAAUCAAACCGGGAGAUAGCUGGUUCUCCCCGAAAGCUAUUUAGGUAGCGCCUCGUGAAUUCAUCUCCGGGGGUAGAGCACUGUUUCGGCACGGGGUUCAUCCCGACUUACCAACCCGAUGCAAACUGCGAAUACCGGAGAAUGUUAUCACGGGAGACACACGGCGGGUGCUAACGUCCGUCGUGAAGAGGGAAACAACCCAGACCGCCAGCUAAGGUCCCAAAGUCAUGGUUAAGUGGGAAACGAUGUGGGAAGGCCCAGACAGCCGUGAUGUUGGCUUAGAAGCAGCCAUCAUUUAAAGAAAGCGUAAUAGCUCACUGGUCGAGUCGGCCUGCGCGGAAGAUGUAACGGGGCUAAACCAUGCACCGAAGCUGCGGCAGCGACGCUUAUGCGUUGUUGGGUAGGGGAGCGUUCUGUAAGCCUGUGAAGGUGUGCUGUGAGGUAUGCUGGAGGUAUCAGAAGUGCGAAUGCUGACAUAAGUAACGAUAAAGCGGGUGAAAAGCCCGCUCGCCGGAAGACCAAGGGUUCCUGUCCAACGUUAAUCGGGGCAGGGUGAGUCGACCCCUAAGGCGAGGCCGAAAGGCGUAGUCGAUGGGAAACAGGUUAAUAUUCCUGUACUUGGUGUUACUGCGAAGGGGGGACGGAGAAGGCUAUGUUGGCCGGGCGACGGUUGUCCCGGUUUAAGCGUGUAGGCUGGUUUUCCAGGCAAAUCCGGAAAAUCAAGGCCGAGGCGUGAUGACGAGGCACUACGGUGCUGAAGCAACAAAUGCCCUGCUUCCAGGAAAAGCCUCUAAGCAUCAGGUAACAUCAAAUCGUACCCCAAACCGACACAGGUGGUCAGGUAGAGAAUACCAAGGCGCUUGAGAGAACUCGGGUGAAGGAACUAGGCAAAAUGGUGCCGUAACUUCGGGAGAAGGCACGCUGAUACGUAGGUGAAGCGACUUGCUCGUGGAGCUGAAAUCAGUCGAAGAUACCAGCUGGCUGCAACUGUUUAUUAAAAACACAGCACUGUGCAAACACGAAAGUGGACGUAUACGGUGUGACGCCUGCCCGGUGCCGGAAGGUUAAUUGAUGGGGUUAGCGCAAGCGAAGCUCUUGAUCGAAGCCCCGGUAAACGGCGGCCGUAACUAUAACGGUCCUAAGGUAGCGAAAUUCCUUGUCGGGUAAGUUCCGACCUGCACGAAUGGCGUAAUGAUGGCAAGGCUGUCUCCACCCGAGACUCAGUGAAAUUGAACUCGCUGUGAAGAUGCAGUGUACCCGCGGCAAGACGGAAAGACCCCGUGAACCUUUACUAUAGCUUGACACUGAACAUUGAGCCUUGAUGUGUAGGAUAGGUGGGAGGCUUUGAAGUGUGGACGCCAGUCUGCAUGGAGCCGACCUUGAAAUACCACCCUUUAAUGUUUGAUGUUCUAACGUGGACCCGUGAUCCGGGUUGCGGACAGUGUCUGGUGGGUAGUUUGACUGGGGCGGUCUCCUCCUAAAGAGUAACGGAGGAGCACGAAGGUUGGCUAAUCCUGGUCGGACAUCAGGAGGUUAGUGCAAUGGCAUAAGCCAGCUUGACUGCGAGCGUGACGGCGCGAGCAGGUGCGAAAGCAGGUCAUAGUGAUCCGGUGGUUCUGAAUGGAAGGGCCAUCGCUCAACGGAUAAAAGGUACUCCGGGGAUAACAGGCUGAUACCGCCCAAGAGUUCAUAUCGACGGCGGUGUUUGGCACCUCGAUGUCGGCUCAUCACAUCCUGGGGCUGAAGUAGGUCCCAAGGGUAUGGCUGUUCGCCAUUUAAAGUGGUACGCGAGCUGGGUUUAGAACGUCGUGAGACAGUUCGGUCCCUAUCUGCCGUGGGCGCUGGAGAACUGAGGGGCUGCUCCUAGUACGAGAGGACCGGAGUGGACGCAUCACUGGUGUUCGGGUUGUCAUGCCAAUGGCACUGCCCGGUAGCUAAAUGCGGAAGAGAUAAGUGCUGAAAGCAUCUAAGCACGAAACUUGCCCCGAGAUGAGUUCUCCUGACCCUUUAAGGGUCCUGAAGGAACGUUGAAGACGACGACGUUGAUAGGCCGGGUGUGUAAGCGCAGCGAUGCGUUGAAGCUAACCGGUACUAAUGAACCGUGAGGCUUAACCUUACAACGCCGAAG
rnacentral:rRNA from 1 species